AACGAACGCUGGCGGCAGGCUUAACACAUGCAAGUCGAACGGUGUAGCAAUACACAGUGGCAGACGGGUGAGGAACACGUGGGAACAUCCCUCUCGGUUCGGAAUAACGUUGGGAAACUAACGCUAAUACCGGAUACGUCCGUGAGGAGAAAGAUUUAUUGCCGAGAGAUUGGCCCGCGUCUGAUUAGCUAGUUGGUGAGGUAACGGCUCACCAAGGCUACGAUCAGUAGCUGAUCUGAGAGGAUGAUCAGCCACAUUGGGACUGAGACACGGCCCAGACUCCUACGGGAGGCAGCAGUGGGGAAUAUUGGACAAUGGGGGAAACCCUGAUCCAGCCAUGCCGCGUGAAUGAUGAAGGCCUUCGGGUUGUAAAGUUCUUUUGGUGGGGACGAUGAUGACGGUACCCACAGAAUAAGCUCCGGCUAACUUCGUGCCAGCAGCCGCAGUAA
rnacentral:rRNA from 1 species